rnacentral:pre_miRNA from 8 species
GAGAAACACGACUGAGGGCUGUUCCCACUUGUGCCUGCUAAACUGGUAUCAGUAUGUUGAUUUAGUGCUGGCUCAGUUCAGCAGGAACAGGUGUGAAGUCCUCUACUCUCCUCCAAUCAG